UACGGAGGGGGCUAGCGUUGUUCGGAAUUACUGGGCGUAAAGCGCACGUAGGCGGCUUUGUAAGUUAGAGGUGAAAGCCCGGGGCUCAACUCCGGAAUUGCCUUUAAGACUGCAUCGCUAGAACGUCGGAGAGGUAAGUGGAAUUCCGAGUGUAGAGGUGAAAUGCGUAGAUAUCUGGAGGAACACCGGUGGCGAAGGCGGCAUCCUGGACCAACACUGACGCUGAGGAGCGAAAGCCAGGGGAGCAAACGGG
rnacentral:rRNA from 1 species